AAUGGGGGCAACCCUGAUCCAGCCAUUCCGCGUGAGUGAAGAAGGCCUUCGGGUUGUAAAGCUCUUUCAGCUGGAACGAAACGGUACGGGCUAAUACCCUGUGCUAAUGACGGUACCAGCAGAAGAAGCACCGGCUAACUACGUGCCAGCAGCCGCGGUAAUACGUAGGGUGCGAGCGUUAAUCGGAAUUACUGGGCGUAAAGCGUGCGCAGGCGGAUUGUUAAGCAAGAUGUGAAAUCCCCGGGCUUAACCUGGGAAUGGCAUUUUGAACUGGCAGUCUAGAGUGCGUCAGAGGGGGGUGGAAUUCCACGUGUAGCAGUGAAAUGCGUAGAGAUGUGGAGGAACACCAAUGGCGAAGGCAGCCCCCUGGGAUGACACUGACGCUCAUGUACGAAAGCGUGGGUAGCAAA
rnacentral:rRNA from 1 species